UCCUGCAGGGGCGGAUCUAGCCAUUUUGGGGCCCUAGGCAAAAUAUAAACAAGGGGCCCUCAUUCCUUAAACACACACAAAAACCAAAUAACUAGAGAUGGAACGAUCGAUCGGCAGUGUAUCGGUAUCGGCCGAUUUUCACCCAAAAUAUGGUAUCGGCGAUCGGCAGAUAUUCUUCUAAUUUUAGCCGAUCUGAUUCAGGAGUUUAGGGUUAAGCAGUUUGUCAGAGCUGUGUGUGGAUGAAGCUGCAGUUCCUCAUCCAACCACUAGUCGGAGCUGCAGCAGCAGCACAAGCCUCGCUGUCUUUACUCAGUCAGAGCUACAGCCCAGCCACGGGCUACAGAGCUCAGCUGAGUCAGUCUGGAGCGUUUUUUUUUUUUUUUUUUACAGUUUUCUUAAAUUCUUCUGUGUAGGAAAUAAAGGUUUUAACCCCACUAACAGGAUAAUACAGCUCUCUGCAGUUCAUCUUUCAGCCCAAGCAGCUAACAGCAGCAGUUUAAAGCAGCUGUCACGGAGUCACUGCUCGGAUUACAUUAUAAACAGGUCAGUUAGCGCGCUGCUCACCUCAGGAUGUUUAUAACUACGGAGUUUAGUGGACACACCACGGCUGCAAGGUUAGACUGUUGAAGGCUACUGAAGACUAUUAAAGGCUAUUGGAGGUUAUUGAAAGGGUUAUUGGGGGCAGAAAUCAGUAAAGGCUGGUUAGAUAAGUGAUUCACGCCCUCGUCCUUUGCUGCGGUGAAAUUGUGUUUAUUAACAUCAUUAAAACAGAUUUUGUCAGGUAUUGUCUUAUAAAUAUUCACACAACUUAUAUCUCUCCUAAAAAGCGUUUAUUGUGGUCAGUAACACUCGAGUUUAUUUACUAUCAGUGUAAAUGACCAGUGUUUGCAUUGGCGUGAAUGUAAUUAGGGGAAUCUGUACCAGGUUUGUCUGGCACCUGUGUGGCAUUAAUGUGGCAUUUGGCCCCGCCCAAUAUCGGCCGAUCGUGGUGAAAGGCGAUCGGAAUCGGCCCCAAAAACACUGAUCGGUCCAGGAGGUGCAAAAAAGGAGGUGAAUUUUGUCAGUGCAUCUGCGAUUCUUUUGCUCUCUGCCCGUUUCUUUCGUUUAGCAGAACCACUUUCAUAACUCCGUUUCAUUUUCACUGUGACAGCUCUCACUCCAGUCGCGUACAGUUCCCGCUGUUUUGGUUUGAAGUCACGUCGUGUCGCACAUUGCUACGUCAUCAUAUUACGGACUAGUUCAAUGAAAGCAACGGAGGGGGGUAUGUGUGUUUGGACAAUUAGUAUUUAGACAUU
rnacentral:lncRNA from 1 species